rnacentral:rRNA from 1 species
GCCAGAAGCUAGCACUCUGCAACACUCAGAUGGUCACCCACUGAGGCUAAAAAGGGCUGUGCCUGGUCAGUACCUGGAUAUGAGACCACAUGGGAAAGCUAGGUUGCUGCUGGAA